AUAUUAAGUGGGAAACGAAGUGGGAAGGCUUAGACAGCUAGGAUGUUGGCUUAGAAGCAGCCAUCAUUUAAAGAAAGCGUAAUAGCUCACUAGUCGAGUCGGCCUGCGCGGAAGAUGUAACGGGGCUCAAAUAUAGCACCGAAGCUGCGGCAUCAGACAAAAGUCUGUUGGGUAGGGGAGCGUUCUGUAAGCGGAUGAAGGUGUGUUGAGAAGCAUGCUGGACGUAUCAGAAGUGCGAAUGCUGACAUAAGUAACGAUAAAACGGGUGAAAAACCCGUUCGCCGGAAGACCAAGGGUUCCUGUCCAACGUUAAUCGGGGCAGGGUGAGUCGGCCCCUAAGGCGAGGCUGAAGAGCGUAGUCGAUGGGAAACAGGUUAAUAUUCCUGUACUUGGUAAAGCUGCGAUGUGGGGACGGAGUAGGUUAGGUUAUCGCACUGUUGGAUAUGUGCGUUUAAGUUGGUAGGUGGGAAGUUUAGGCAAAUCCGGACUUCCUUAACACUGAGAGAUGAUGACGAGGCUCUACGGAGCUGAAGUAACCGAUACCACACUUCCAGGAAAAGCCACUAAGCGAAAGGCUUUACUAAACCGUACUGAAA
rnacentral:rRNA from 1 species